rnacentral:rRNA from 1 species
CCUACGGGAGGCAGCAGUGGGGAAUAUUUCGCAAUGGGCGAUAGCCUGACGCAGCGACGCCGCGUGAAGGAUGAAGGUCUUCGGAUCGUAAACCUCUGUCAGCAGGGAAGAACGGUCACUGUGCUAAUCAGCAGUGCAUUGACGGUACCUGCAAAGGAAGCACCGGCUAACUCCGUGCCAGCAGCCGCGGUAAUACGGAGGGUGCGAGCGUUAAUCGGAAUUACUGGGCGUAAAGCGCUCGUAGGCGGGAUGUCAAGUCAAGGGUGAAAUCCCCGCGCUCAACGUGGGAACUGCCUUUGAAACUGGCAAACUGGAGUGUGUGAGAGGAUAGUGGAAUUCCAGGUGUAGGAGUGAAAUCCGUAGAUAUCUGGAGGAACAUCAGUGGCGAAGGCGACUAUCUGGCACAUAACUGACGCUGAGGAGCGAAAGCGUGGGUAGCAAACAGGAUUAGAUACCCCAGUAGUC